rnacentral:rRNA from 1 species
GACGAACGCUGGCGGCGUGCCUAACACAUGCAAGUCGAACGAAGCUCCCUGACGUAAGACUUCGGUCAAGCUGAUGGGAUGACUUAGUGGCGGACGGGUGAGUAACGCGUGAGGAACCUGCCUUUCAGUGGGGGACAACAGUUGGAAACGACUGCUAAUACCGCAUAAUGUACUUUGGGGGCAUCCCCGAGGUACCAAAGAUUUAUUGCUGAAAGAUGGACCCGCGUCUGAUUAGCCAGUUGGCGGGGUAACGGCCCACCAAAGCGACGAUCAGUAGCCGACCUGAGAGGGUGACCGGCCACAUUGGGACUGAGACACGGCCCAAACUCCUACGGGAGGCAGCAGUGGGGAAUAUUGCACAAUGGGGGAAACCCUGAUGCAGCGACGCCGCGUGAGCGAAGAAGUAUUUCGGUAUGUAAAGCUCUAUCAGCAGGGAAGAAGAAUGACGGUACCUGACUAAGAAGCACCGGCUAAAUACGUG